UGCGUAGGCGGGGCAAUUAGUCAGUGGUGAAAUCCUGCGGCUUAACCGUAGAACUGCCAUUGAUACUGUUGCCCUUGAGUAUAGUUGAGGUGGGCGGAAUGUGUAAUGUAGCGGUGAAAUGCAUAGAGAUUACACAGAACACCAAUUGCGAAGGCAGCUCACUAAGCUAUAACUGACGCUGAGGCACGAAAGCGUGGGGAGCGAACAGGAUUAGAUACCCUGGUAGUCC
rnacentral:rRNA from 1 species